rnacentral:lncRNA from 1 species
GCUAGAUAAAACAUGCCAGAUAAACUUCAUCAACAACAGCCUUUUUACAACAAAAGGUCAUAGGUUCAACAACAGGCUAACCCUAAUAUUAGUUCAACGCAUAGCAUUCUGUACUAUUAGCCUACUUACAUUCCAACAUUGGCACAUAUACAACCAAAAGGACCUUAGGAGUAUUCUAACAUCGUCGUGAAACGUGCUUCCUUGCUGUCCCCUUUGUUAGAGCUACCUUCUUAGGAGUUUCUGCACUUGUGAUAUGGGUGUCUGCAAGAAUCUGCACAAUAAGACAAGAGAAAUCAAAUUGCAGCCUAUAUAUAAUGCUACAUCCAUAAGGCCAAACUUAACAAAAAUUUAAGGAGAUGGAUUUAGGUCACAAUCUAUUGUUUACAAGUAGAAUUUGUCUUAGCCAACUACAUUGGGAAGAUAAAGUCAAAUAGUCACAACCAAUCAACAAAAUAGUUGAGAUGAGGACACAGCGACGAUGUCUGGAUUAAUGCCUUGAUUUUUCACGGUACUAAACAAGAGUAGACCAAAAUUAGUGUCUCACCAAUAAAUAUAUAAUGUCCAAUAAUCACUAUAUGCAAUCUAAUUUUGUGUGUACUGAAACUUUGACAAUCCAGAAAAUAACUCACGAUCCAGUAGCAGUAAUACCGCCCAAUAAAAGAAUUUAUAUAGAACAAUUAUUCACUUUCUUGCAUGAAUUUUCAAGAAGACUUGUGCAGAAAUAUUAAUAAUGGAACCACGUCUCAUCAUGAACAGCACAUGACCUAUGAAAAUUUUAGUAUAAAGUGAAAACUAUAACUCACAGAAGUCAUCACAUUGUUGCUGGGGCUAGGUGCUGUGGAUGGCAAUUGAUGUGGUAGAGGUAGCACCAUACAUGGUAGUUCCCAUUUGUUUGCCUAGUCUUGUCGAUCGGUUAUUGCAAACUGUAGCAAAGAUAUUCAUUAGCCGUAUGGUGUUUUUUAAAGCUUCUUCAUGCAUCUUGUUCUUAGCACGGUUCACAGAUACCCUAUAGUCAUGAUUAAUGGCUGCAUGCUCGUGGGCGUAGUUGGUUUUAGCCUUUUUUACCAUCUCCAUCUCUUGUGACGCAUGAAUCAGAAACCCAUGUGUAUUAGUUGAAUGCAAAAUUAUAGUAUUACUUACAAGGUUAUGUUAAU